rnacentral:tRNA from 1 species
GGCUUCGUAGCUCAGUUGGUAGAGCGCUUGCCGCGUAGAGGCAUGGUGUUUCUGUCGCUGGUUCGAAUCCAGCCGAAGCCC